GCGGGUGUAGUUCAUCGGUAGAACGACAGCUUCCCAAGCUGUAAAGGCGGGUUCGAUUCCCGUCACCCGCUCCA
rnacentral:tRNA from 10 species